CUUGGUCAUUUAGAGGAAGUAAAAGUCGUAACAAGGUCUCCGUAGGUGAACCUGCGGAGGGAUCAUUACACAAAUAUGAAGGCGGGCUGGAACCUCUCGGGGUUACAGCCUUGCUGAAUUAUUCACCCUUGUCUUUUGCGUACUUCUUGUUUCCUUGGUGGGUUCGCCCACCACUAGGACAAACAUAAACCUUUUGUAAUUGCAAUCAGCGUCAGUAACAAAUUAAUAAUUACAACUUUCAACAACGGAUCUCUUGGUUCUGGCAUCGAUGAAGAACGCAGCGAAAUGCGAUAAGUAGUGUGAAUUGCAGAAUUCAGUGAAUCAUCGAAUCUUUGAACGCACAUUGCGCCCUUUGGUAUUCCAAAGGGCAUGCCUGUUCGAGCGUCAUUUGUACCCUCAAGCUUUGCUUGGUGUUGGGCGUCUUGUCUCUAGCUUUGCUGGAGACUCGCCUUAAAGUAAUUGGCAGCCGGCCUACUGGUUUCGGAGCGCAGCACAAGUCGCACUCUCUAUCAGCAAAGGUCUAGCAUCCAUUAAGCCUUUUUUUCAACUUUUGACCUCGGAUCAGGUAGGGAUACCCGC
rnacentral:rRNA from 1 species